rnacentral:lncRNA from 1 species
GUACAAAGCUGGACUCUGACGACAACUUCAGCAUCCAAGGCACAGAUUCCAUAGUGUGUGGCAAAUUCAGAUGAGGUUCAGGCAAACUUGGGGAUUGGGGCAGUCCAGGAUUUUGUUACAGGUUAAAGGAGGCCCGAGGGAAUGAUGUCAGCCUUGAGAUGCACAACCAAAAUAAAAACAUACAAAUGAAACUCACACCAAAUCCCAGAACUCCAAGGCUGGCCCUGGAAAGGGAAUCUCCUGGUGAUUUCUAUCCUUCAAGCGCACUAUCCCCUUGGUUCUCUUCUUGGUCACUGUUGACUAUGGGAGACCCACCUUCCCAUUUUAACCCUUUGGCUCAAGUUUGCUACCUUGCAGUCCAGCUCAGGCGUGGUUAGAAUGUUCUGAGGCCCUGCUGUUGGUUCCGGCAAAAGCAACAGAGAGAGAACACGGUACAUUGAAAAGAGUCGAGCAGAAGAAUGGGCGUUAUUUCACUUGAACAUGAAGAAUCAGUCAGAGCAAAGAUUUUGAAAAUCUGGAAACAUUGUUGUUCAUUCACCCUAAGCAAAGAAGCAAAGAAAAUCUCAGAAAGAUUUGAAGCUGAAAGUAUGAUUCCAAGACAAGGCCAUGUACCACUUGAAUGCUACUUGAUUCCUGCUGGACAUUUUAAAGGUCAUGUCAAGUAAUACAAGUGUGAACAAAAAUACCAACUCUGAAAUAUUUAAGUGAGUUUGAAGAAGAUGACUUCAUAGAGGGGAACUUCACUAACAACAUGUUUUGUUGAGAUGAGAGUUCUGGAACAAGGUGAAAUUUUUUGUUGCCUUCUAAAUUUCAGAUGCCAACAUUAAAAACAUUGCAGAGGAGGACAGUAAUACAUUUAUUUAAAUUAUCG